rnacentral:rRNA from 1 species
UGGGGAAUUUGGACAAUGGGCGAAAGCCUGAUCCAGCAAUGCCGCGUGUGUGAAGAAGGCCUUCGGGUUGUAAAGCACUUUUGUCCGGAAAGAAAUCCUUGGCUCUAAUACAGUCGGGGGAUGACGGUACCGGAAGAAUAAGCACCGGCUAACUACGUGCCAGCAGCCGCGGUAAUACGUAGGGUGCAAGCGUUAAUCGGAAUUACUGGGCGUAAAGCGUGCGCAGGCGGUUUGCUAAGACCGAUGUGAAAUCCCCGGGCUCAACCUGGGAACUGCAUUUGGUGACUGGCAGGCUAGAGUAUGGCAGAGGGGGGUAGAAUUCCACGUGUAGCAGUGAAAUGCGUAGAGAUGUGGAGGAAUACCGAUGGCGAAGGCAGCCCCCUGGGCCAAUACUGACGCUCAUGCACGAAAGCGUGGGGAGCAAACAGGAUUAGAUACCCUGGUAGUCCACGCCCUAAAACGAUGUCAACUAGUUGUUGGGGAUUCAUUUCCUUAGUAACGUAGCUAACGCGUGAAGUUGACCGCCUGGGGAGUACGGUCGCAAGAUUAAAACUCAAAUGAAUUGACGGGGUCAUAGCUGUUUCCU